AGCGCCAUUUCCUUUCAGAUUUCCUAGCUAUUUGUUUUAACUGGCGGGUUUGGUGGUUAUACCAAGGUGCUAGUCUCCUAUGUUUUAAUAAUUUCCUUUUUAUAGGAGCGAUAGAGUCUAAUGUUGAUCGUAGUGAGCCUGUAGCACUAUCGACAAGAUUAUCAAUUUCAGAGGGACUAAA